rnacentral:rRNA from 1 species
CAGCCGCCACGGUAAUACGUAGGGUGCAAGCGUUAAUCGGAAUUACUGGGCGUAAAGCGUGCGCAGGCGGUUUUGUAAGACAGAGGUGAAAUCCCCGGGCUCAACCUGGGAACUGCCUUUGUGACUGCAAGGCUGGAGUAUGGCAGAGGGGGGUAGAAUUCCACGUGUAGCAGUGAAAUGCGUAGAGAUGUGGAGGAAUACCGAUGGCGAAGGCAGCCCCCUGGGCCAAUACUGACGCUCAUGCACGAAAGCGUGGGGAGCAAACAGGAUUAGAUACCCGAGUAGUCCCUGUCUCUUAUAC